rnacentral:rRNA from 1 species
UACGUAUGGUGCAAGCGUUAUCCGGAUUUACUGGGUGUAAAGGGAGCGUAGGCGGUUUUACAAGUCUGAUGUGAAAGCCCGGGGCUCAACUCCGGUAUUGCAUUGGAAACUGUAGAACUAGAGUGUCGGAGGGGUAAGUGGAAUUCCUAGUGUAGCGGUGAAAUGCGUAGAUAUUAGGAGGAACACCAGUGGCGAAGGCGGCUUACUGGACGAUUACUGACGCUGAGGCUCGAAAGCGUGGGGAGCAAACAGG